rnacentral:rRNA from 1 species
UACGUAGGGUGCGAGCGUUGUCCGGAAUUACUGGGCGUAAAGAGCUCGUAGGUGGUUUGUCGCGUUGUUCGUGAAAACUCACAACUCAAUUGUGGGCGUGCGGGCGAUACGGGCAGACUGGAGUACUGCAGGGGAGACUGGAAUUCCUGGUGUAGCGGUGAAAUGCGUAGAUAUCGGGAGGAACACCAGUGGCGAAGGCGACUUCCUGGCCUGUUCUUGACGCUGAGGCGCGAAAGCUAGGGGAGCAAACGGG